rnacentral:rRNA from 1 species
UACAGAGGUCCCAAGCGUUGUUCGGAUUCACUGGGCGUAAAGGGUGCGUAGGUGGUGGGGAAAGUUCGAAUGUGAAAGCUCCGAGCUUAACUCGGAAAUGGCAUUGAAAACUACCCUGCUUGAGGGUUGGAGGGGGACUGGAAUUCUCGGUGUAGCAGUUGGAAAUGCGUAGAUAUCGAGAGGAACACCAGUAGGCGAAGGCGAGUCCCUGGACAACUCCUGACCACUGAGGCACGAAAGCUAGGGGAGCAAACAGG